AUAAGAAAAAAUGAAGUUCACAAUUCCGCUCAUUGCCUUAUGUAGAUGAAGCUUCGCUGUAUGCCAAAUAUUGAAAAACAAACAUCCCACGCUAUCGCUUCAGCAGAAUGCGAUACUUCCAUAGACCAAUGAUGUCAACACGCCAGCACAGAGGUCUUGAUUCAUUUAUAUGCAUUUAUUAUGUAUUUA